rnacentral:rRNA from 1 species
CCUACGGGUGGCAGCAGUCGAGAAUCAUUCACAAUGGGGGAAACCCUGAUGGUGCGACGCCGCGUGGGGGAAUGAAGGUUUUCGGAUUGUAAACCCCUGUCAUGUGGGAGCAAAUUAAAAAGAUAGUACCACAAGAGGAAGAGACGGCUAACUCUGUGCCAGCAGCCGCGGUAAUACAGAGGUUUCAAGCGUUGUUCGGAAUCACUGGGCGUAAAGCGUGCGUAGGUUGUUUCGUAAGUCGUGUGUGAAAGGCGCGGGCUCAACCCGCGGACGGCACAUGAUACUGCGAGACUAGAGUAAGGGAGGGGGAACCGGAAUUCUCGGUGUAGCAGUGAAAUGCGUAGAUAUCGAGAGGAACACUCGUGGCGAAGGCGGGUUCCUGGACAUUAACUGACGCUGAGGCACGAAGGCCAGGGGAGCGAAAGGGAUUAGAUACCCCUGUAGUC